rnacentral:rRNA from 1 species
GGUUAAGUUAGAAAGGGCGCACGGUGGAUGCCUUGACACUAGGAGUCGAUGAAGGACGGGACUAACGCCGAUAUGCUUCGGGGAGCUGUAAGUAAGCUUUGAUCCGAAGAUUUCCGAAUGGGGAAACCCACUAUACGUAAUGGUAUGGUAUCCUUACCUGAAUACAUAGGGUAUGGAAGACAGACCCAGGGAACUGAAACAUCUAAGUACCUGGAGGAAGAGAAAGCAAAUGCGAUUUCCUGAGUAGCGGCGAGCGAAACGGAACAUAGCCCAAACCAAGA